AUAUGAAAGUGAAAUUGCAGUUAGAAGAAUUGCACGACAACAUUUAUAAUAAUUAAUUUUCUAGAACCCUCAGAGACUACAUGCCAGACACUAACAAAUAAUUUCAGUUAGUGAAGAUAUAGUCCGAUCCUUACAGAGAUGUAAGG
rnacentral:autocatalytically_spliced_intron from 1 species